GAUUGCGUGCCCAAUAAAUUACCUUACCACGCGUCAAUAGUGAAGAAUGAGGAAAGAUUGAACAGCGAAGCAUGUGGGAAGUGAUAACCGCUUUCUGCUUAUGAUUCUCGUAUUUUUUAGCCACUGAAAUAGUACACUUCCAAUUUUUCAUAAUCUCGCAAAUUCUCAAUCAAUGGAUCCGCCGGAGACGCAGACGAUUGGUGGCUCGGGAACGAACCAGAAGGCAAUGGAAGACGACGAGCAAGACAAAGUUAUCAACGAAUGUUGCUCCUGUUUCUACGAGUGUACGGACACCUGCUUAGACUUCUUGUUCUGCGAUUUCUGUUAGUUAGUUUGCUUGCUGGUGGCUUAAUCAAUGCUUGUAUUUCACCUCACUUCAGUUCUGCUCGCCCAAUUUCUGUCAAUUUCUGUGAUUGAUUGUUGUUUAGAACAGUUACAAUGGCAAAAUUUAAAAUUGUAUUCAA